UAAAUACACUUGACCCCAAGACUGACAAGUGAGUUAGAAGGGGGAAUAGAGGAGGCGUAUGGAGCAUGUGGAGAGGGCAGAUAGAGGAGGGCUGGGUUAGGGGAGGGCUCAGGGCGGAGAGUGAAAAGAAGGGAUGGAGCAAGUGAGUCUGUUUGGAUAACUGAAUGAGAGCGCUAGAGUUUUGACAGAGGGAGAUAUCAUGCAGGACUCUGUACUGCUUUAUACAGGUGAGCAAGGAGACAUUGGGGUGGGCUGGAGUUCCCAUUCACUUUAUAGCGCUCCCCUGUGGAUCGGAUCGCUCUGUAGUUUUGCAGAUCUCAGAAACUAUUCCCAUGGGGGGGGGGGGGGGUAAAAGAGCAAAUUAAUUAGAGCUGGAAGUUGUAGUUGAAAAGUGCUGCUAGUGAAGGAGUAACUUAGGGACCAUGGACAGCGGCUUCAGUACCUGCCUAUGGGGACGGUCCUGCCGCCGGUGAAGCCACGCCCCCUGUUUUCUAUUGGCUCGCGGAGCAAGCAACGAAUGUAGCAGGUGUGUGAGAAUGUUGCUGAGCCGGGUUUGCUGAAAAGAGGAGGCAGUUUUGGGGUACAGUACAGCUGUCCAUUUGUGCUCCUCCCACAUACAGAACCUUCGAAAGUCAAGCUUCAUAGCAGGGUCCCUUCUAACUGUAGCACCAAACGCCCUGAUGGCUUCUCUGCAGAGCUGCUGCUGAACAAAGCUUGGCUAGAAAGACUGGUUCAUUCAAGAAGAAAAGGACAAAGCCCCAGACAGGCCCUGGGUGUGAAUCUCCAGACUUCUGUGAAUCUCCGGACUUCUCCUGAUUCAUGGCUGCUCUUGGAAAGGACGAGCCUUUGGACCUCCUACAUAAUCUGACACCCACAGCAAAGUUUCGGCAAAACGUUUCAGUUUUACGCAACAUAUGCAACAAACACAUGAAAGGAAACUACAAAUGUUAUCUGUAAUCAAGAAUGCCUUAUUUUUGUCCAUAAAUAAAAUAAUUAUUUUCAAA